UCUCUCUAGACUGGAUUUAAGCCUGUUUCAAGGUUCUGUAAGUGUACUUGACUUACUGCCUCGUGUCCUCCUCAGGUUCCAGACCUGUUUUCAUCCAGCCUCCAGUUCUUGAGUUAAGCAUACUCCUGACCUCUGGAUCUAAGUAAUCUUUGGUGCUCCUGGAUUUCAAAAUGGAUUUCAAGUUUCCUUCUCGAAUUACCUUCUGGCUGGGAGCUUCAGGAUCGACAACAGACUGGCCCAAGUCAGCAGCAUACCCUGUCCACCCUCCAAUGUGCCCUCAGGCAAGCUUCUUAGAAGAUUCUUUGUUCCUCAAUGACCAAGCCAUCUGGAUAAACUUUACACUCCAAGACAACUCCCGUGCUGAACUCCACAUCUCCAUUCCCCAGGUUGGCAGCUCCCAGUUCCAGAUCAUAGUCUGUUUCUCUGCGUAAAAUAAAUAUCUUAAAUUAUUAAUCAGACAGUAAAACAUGUCCACCAAGAUGAACCUGGACCCAGAUGUGCGUCCUUUAGGAGCAACAAGUCAAAGAACAUGCUUAUCAACUUUAACUCAGUGCUGCCUUCUUCAUCAGAGAGAUCCCAGAGUCUGGAAGAAGAGGGGAGAGACACAGAAUCCACAUUGCUUGAAGUCCAGUGUGAUUUUUUUCCACAGUCAGUGAUGAUUUCGGGUGCCAUGUCAUCGGCUGGUGUGGAUCCACUGGGUUUCCCAUUGUCAAAGGUACCAAAAGCUGCUUCAGUGACUGUGGUGUUACUGGUCUGAGCUGAACCCCAUAGAGAAUCUAUAGAGUAUUCUCAAGAGGAAUAUGAGAGACACCACACCCAACAAUGCAGAUGACCUGAAGGCCACUAUCAAAGCAACCUGGACUUCCAUUACAUCUCACCAGAAGCACAGACUGAUCUCCUCCAUGCCACGCCACAUUGAUGCAGUAAUUCAUGCAAGGAGCCCCAACCAAGUAUUGGGUGAGCAAUAAUCAUCAAAAUUACAAUAUAUAAAGGCUUUAAAUGUUUCACUCUGUGUAAUGAAUCUAUAUGAGUUUCAUUUCUGAAAUGAGCAACAAAAAAUGUUUUUUAUGGAUGCACCUCUACGGGUGUAUAAAUAUUUAAAAAAGUGAUUAUGACUACAAAACAGCUUCAUAAGUUCAAUCCAUUUCAACCUAAAGGUAACAGAACUUGAAGGACUUCAGCAUUAUGAAGUGAGUAUGACCAGACAGCUAAGAGUUAAACCAAUUAAAAGAUGUACAGUAUAGCUUGACAUUGUUUGGGAGGAUUAUGUGUGAUCUAGAAGAAUGAAGAUGGUCAAUGGUCCAGUUGUCAUGAGCAGAUCACGCACGUGUGACUAAUUGGAUUUGGAGAGGCAUUAGCAUUACAGGAUACUAAGUAGAAGGUUCAUAGCGAGGAAGACUAACUCCAGAACAACAAAUCAGGUCAAGAGAAGUGUACUUUUGAGUGUGUAUGGACAUCCACAUGUUGCUGCAGACUAACGCUAUGUAAAUAUGUCCCCUUACUUUAAAUGCAUGGGGACAUGGAGGACAAAUGAGGUAAAAACCCUAAACGCAUUUGCCGUGAGAUUUAACAUUUGGUCUGGUAAAUAUUAGAGGUUUCAUUGUGUGUGCCAGAAGAUAAACAGUUAUAUUUAAUAAAUCCCACAAAUGUAUUACAAUGAAUGUAAUCUGAAGUAAUUUUACAAGACAGAAAAUCUGUUCAUAUCCAGAAAUGUUUCAUAACAUCAAUUGUAUUCAAUUCAGAAAUAAAUGCAGAAUCAAAUUAAACUUCAUGCAUUCCAGUUUGAUCUUAGUUUUAUUACAAUGCACUGAAAUCCGGCUUAAAAUGGUAAAAUGUUGUCCAUCUAGGGAAACCCAGCCUAUUGUACCAAGUCACUGACUUUGCAGCCAUCCAU